rnacentral:lncRNA from 1 species
CAAUAUCCAAGCUUAACCCCGAGUUUAUUACAAAAUGAGGAAUGUUUUUACUCGACCCAGCAAAACUGGACUGUAACCAUCCCUGAUUGAAGAACAUAUUAUCAAGUAGUGAAACCAUCCUAUAAAAAUACAAAGAUAUGUACACAAACACAGUCCUAAAUAUCCACAACAAAUAAUUUAUAGAUAUCCACAACUAUCGCACCUGAAGCCAAUGAACAACAACAAAAAUUCAACAAAAUUCAAUCUUUACAAGAAAAUAUAAGCACUGUAUUUAACUAUUGCUAAUUUUGUAAGGCCCCAAAAUUUUUUUAUGACUUUAUUUGUAAAUUGGAUAAGAAACUAAAUUUUAUUAGUUCUAACUAUUUUUAGACUAUUAAGUUGCCAUUGAGAAGCAUUUUGAGCUAUUUUUUAAAGUUUCGGGUACAAUAGAAUAAAAAUACGGGUUAAAUGGAAAAAUUAAUAAAUUUUCCACCAAAAACAUUUUAGUCGAUUGGGAUAUAAUUAUGAUUAAAUAUUAGCAUUUAAGGUUGCGUGUGGUGAUGAGAUGAUUUUUAAGCAAUUGAAAUCAAUUUACUCGUAUAAAAAAAAAGUAUUGGCCACAUCUAAAAAAAAAGAAAAAGUAUUUAAGGUAUUUUAAAUUACCAAAAUAAUAAUAAAAAAAAAUGGGGGAAAAAGACCCCCCACUUAACAGCCCCCUGGCUGGCCAUUGUUAAGCAAGAGGGAAGAAACUUUGUUCUUCUUUCACAAGCUUUUCUCCUUCUGAUCUCUCCAAAAUCUCAACACUUUUUUUAUUUUCUUGGAAAACUAACCUCUAAAAAUCAUUUUUGAGCCUUCCUCUUCUUCAUUUCUUCAUCAUCUUCAUCACCCAGACUUAGGGUUUUGGAGCUUUUACAAGAAGAAAAUGGGUUGAGUGAGAAAGUGAAGGUUAAGAUUAGUUUUUGUGAUUUUGCAUCAUUUUGACACUCCAUGUCAUAUUUAUGAGCAUUAUAAUAGUUGUUGAGCCAUUUAAAUGGCUAUUUA